AUCGGAUUGAUACUAAGCCAUGCGAGUCAUUGUAGCAAUACAAGGCAGACGGCUCAGUAACGCGUAGUCAACCUACCCUAUGGACGGGAAUAACCUCGGGAAACUGAGUAUAAUGCCCGAUAGAACACUAUACCUGGAAUGGUUUGUGUUCCAAAUGAUUUAUCGCCGUAGGAUGGGACUGCGGCCUAUCAGUUUGUUGGUGAGGUAAUGGCCCACCAAGACUAUUACAGGUACGGGCUCUGAGAGGAGUGGCCCGGAGAUGGGUACUGAGACACGGACCCAGGCCCUAUGGGGCGCAGCAGGCGAGAAAACUUUGCAAUGUGCGAAAGCACGACAAGGUUAAUCCGAGUGGUUUGUGCUAAACGAACCUUUUGUCAGUCCUAGAAACACUAACGAAUAAGGGGUGGGCAAGUUCUGGUGUCAGCCGCCGCGGUAAAACCAGCACCUCAAGUGGUCAGGAUGAUUAUUGGGCCUAAAGCAUCCGUAGCCGGCUCUGUAAGUUUUCGGUUAAAUCUGUACGCUUAACGUACAGGCUGCCGGGAAUACUGCAGAGCUAGGGAGUGGGAGAGGUAGACGGUACUCGGUAGGAAGGGGUAAAAUCCUUUGAUCUAUUGAUGACCACCUGUGGCGAAGGCGGUCUACCAGAACACGUCCGACGGUGAGGGAUGAAAGCUGGGGGAGCAAACCGGAUUAGAUACCCGGGUAGUCCCAGCUGUAAACUAUGCAAACUCAGUGAUGCAUUGACUUGUGGUCAAUGCAGUGCUGCAGGGAGGCCGUUAAGUUUGCCGCCUGGGAAGUACGUACGCAAGUAUGAAACUUAAAGGAAUUGGCGGGGGAGCACCACAAGGGGUGAAGCCUGCGGUUCAAUUGG
rnacentral:rRNA from 1 species